GGGGAAUCUUCCGCAAUGGACGAAAGUCUGACGGAGCAACGCCGCGUGAGUGAAGAAGGUCUUCGGAUCGUAAAGCUCUGUCUUUUAGGGCGAACGAGCUAUAGGUGAAAAAUCUAUAGUAAUGACGGUACUAAAGGAGGAAGCCAUGGCUAACUACGUGCCAGCAGCCGCGGUAAUACGUAGGUGGCAAGCGUUGUCCGGAAUUAUUGGGCGUAAAGAGCGCGUAGGCGGGAUAACAAGUCUAUCUUAAAAGUGCGGGGCUCAACCCCGUGAGGGGAUAGAAACUGUUAUUCUUGAGUGCAGGAGAGGGAAGUGGAAUUCCCAGUGUAGCGGUGAAAUGCGUAGAUAUUGGGAGGAACACCAGUGGCGAAGGCGGCUUUCUGGACUGUGUCUGACGCUGAGGCGCGAAAGCCAGGGGAGCGAAC
rnacentral:rRNA from 1 species